rnacentral:lncRNA from 10 species
CUCUUUCUUCCCGAGUCUCGGCCAGGUCUGAGGUGAAGCAGGAAGGCCCCAUACGGGGUGGCUAGGAAUGCCCUGUGUGGACUCCCAGGGGUCCAGUGACUUCCCUAAGACCACCAGGCAAGGUGGGGGUAGACCGAGUCCCAGUUCCUUCUGCCCACACUGUGUGCAAACCCUCUACUUCUGCCCACAAGGGCUAUAAUCUCCUAUCCCUUGAUGGUCUCAAUGACCUCUGCCCAGAUUUCUGAUGGGAAAACCAAGGGACGGAGAAGAAAAGCGACUUGCCCAUGUCUCAUGGCCCCAGGAACUCAAAAUCGAGGCGAGAUCUUUCUCAUCCGGGCUGCUUCUCCCAGCCCAAGAACAAAGCUGGACACGACAGGCUCAGGGGGAAAGAAGUGAGAGGAAGGCUGGAGCAGAGGAAGCGAGAACCCUCCAGAGAUGCGGAGCUGGACAGUUUUGCAGCUGUGCUGGUACCUGGAGCCUGGGCAGGCUGGGAGUCCUGCUUAACCCCACAGCCUGCAUGCUGGCACCAAGUGGGGGUCAAACCUAGGGCCUUCUGCUCCCAGGACAUAAGUCCCCCUCACUAUUCGGAUCUGCUGGAAGAACCAGAAUCCCAGCAGAAGUGCUGAGUCAUGUGGGGGAGUUUGCUGGCAUAACUUCUCCCCACCUGCACCCAAGGCAUUGUUGAGAAAAGAAAGUCUGCUGCCACCUAAGAGACCCAGAAUCAGAACAACGGUGUGAUCUGAACAAGAUGAAGGGGUGGUUUCAUGAUAAGAAUAAACUACAAGCUUCUUCUGCUCCUUCUAGAGAUGCUCAAGAAGACUAUGGGAUAAAGCCACUUAUCUCAACUGAUAAAGGUAUAGAGCUGAGGAUGCCUGAUCUUUGCUUACUGCUCCCCUGGCCCCAUCCUAAAGAAGGGCCCCACCAGUGAACUUAUGGACCCAUGGAACCAUUCCCACUGAGCAAGAAAUAUGGCCUGAUAUCUCCAAGGUAACUCCAGAAACUCCAAGAGGAGAUGAAGAGAAUCCAGGAAGUCACCAGCUGUGGUGAACAUUGUGCCUAACUUGACACCCUUUGUUUUGCCCAUUUCUGCUGCCACUCUAAGAAAAGCCACUAUGGGGUGAACUCCUGGGCUCCCAGGGCUGCUCCACGUCAACACCAAAUCUAGAAACCUCUGGUACUGGAUUUAACUACCCCUGGGGUUGCCAUGAAGAUGAAGUUCCAGGAUCCUGGAAGGCUGAGGGUGGAAACCAAGUUAGUGAUGAGGCAGGAGGAGAAGAUGGGGUGAGCUCUCUUGUAAAACAGAGCAGGGAGCUGGAUCUACUGUUUCAGAGUGAGCAGGCGAUGGCAAGCAGGAAGACACACUGUGUCGCCGGCUCACACCCACUCCUGCUGCCUGCUGCCUGCUGAUGGCCACGCCUCCUGAAAAGGCUGGAUUCAGGGUGGCCGCUCAACUUCGCAGCACCUGCUAUCUCCACUCUGUGCCCACUCCUUCGCCUGCCACGUCUCCUACAGACACUGAAAGGGCCCUAUCAAUUUAUUUGGUUAAGAUCCAUUUCAAUGCUCAGAACCCUAAUGUGGUCUGCAGAGCAUGAAUCCAGAUGGCCUCGGGUUGCCUUGCACCAGUCCUGUACUGUGCUGCUCUCCCAGUCUGUUUUGACUCCUCAACCUAAGGCAGGAAUCUUCCAAAGACCUGGAUCCUCCUACUUAGAGAACAAGGAGGGCAGGUGAUGAGAAUAAGGGGGCUAUCAAUGGAAAAGCAGAGCAACAAGAUCUUACAAAUACAGGGAGAAUGUCCACUGAGGUUGCAGGGUUUUGCAGGGUUUUGCAGGGAUCAAGGGAGGGGCACAGGUGGGUAGGUAGAAAGUUCCAGUCCCUAGGAAAUUAGAAAACUCUCCAUGUAUCGUCUCCGCACUAACAGCACCAAGCAGCAGCCCAUAGCCACCAACACCGGCUUCUGCUUACUGGUCAAGAGGAAGACAUCCCAGGGAGAUUUGAGAUUCGUGACAUAGCAGUUUGUGACUAUCAGGGUGCUGACCUCUCUGAGAAGCACAAGGUGACACACCUCAACAUCCAGACACAUCUACAUGGUUUCCAGAGGGCAUCUCUAUGACAGGGGCCCUCCAAUGGCAGCAGGAGGCCCCUGCAUAUGGUUCAGUGAACCAGAUUCCUCUUGCAGGGCACAAAUGGAAUGUGAGGCAAUGCCACCAUUUAGGGGCCAGCACAGAGACUCAGGGAACAAGAAGCUUAGAGCAAAGCAAGUCACAUGAUGUUAAGGCUAUGUGACUACUACAGCCUGCACAAGGAGAUGUUGUCACGCACUCCUCAAGACUCCAGAGAAGCCAAAAUAAAGAAAAGAGCCCCUGGCAAACAAAAUGAUGCCUGAAACCCACAUACUAAGCUUCUGCCUGUCACCUAUGGGAAAGCCCUUGGCCCUGCCCCGUGGCCCAGCCACUGAAAGCCUAUUUACUUUUAUUUUAGAAACAAACUCGUUUAUUUAAUUUCUCAUCCCAGAGGAGUUGAAAAGGGCACUGGGAUUAAUAGUGGCAGGUUCCUAAAAGACUUCCAGAAGUGACAACUAGCAGCCACGAAUUAGACCAGGGAUGCACACAUUUUUUCUAUAAAGGGUCAGACAGUCAAUAAUUUUAGCUUUGCGACUACUCUACUCUGCUCUGUAGCGUGAAAGCGGCCCCUGAUGAUAUGUAAAUGAGUGGGUAUGGCUAGGUGCCAGUGAAACUUUAUUUACCAAAACGGACGACGGGGACGUAGGCUUUAGUUUUUUGAUCCCUUGAUUACACAAAAAGUAUCAAAACAUGAUAUUAAAACCACUGGAAAAGCACAGCAGUCUGGGGCUAUUUAGGACAGGGGCAAACAGCAGACACACCUCAACAGAUCUGACCAGUGUCCCCAGACUGUGGCCUGGGCUCAGGAUUCCUUGCACUGGUUAGAAAAGGCACUGUGUCUCAGUCUUUGCCGCCGCGCCGGCGAGCGCCGCCCGGGAGGCAGCGGCUGGAGGAGCGGACGGGCCCCGCGGGGCCGGAGGGCAAGGAGCAGCCGCCUGCCUUGGCCUCCC